CCUUUACCUUCCAUCAACUCCCCAUUUUGGGAUACUGUACCAUCCUGAGCUGUGACGAAAUGCAAGAGAGAGAUGUCAUCGAGAGUGCUGAGCUGCCUGCCGCCCUAGAUUCUAGGAAGAGAAGAACCCUCACUUUGCUUUUCUUAUCUCGUCUCCACACAGUGUCUCGGUGCACGCUAAGACCUCCCCUUCAAUGGCCGUUAUCGAAGCACGGAGUAUUUGCCACUGUAUUGAGCUAGUAGUGCAGAAAAAGUUGAGGGCAGCGGUACCUUCUGUGUGCAAACUGGGCAUGGAGCAGGAAGAUAAUUCUGGUCUGGCCAGAGAGAAUGCACGCAGGCAUUGGCACUACACAGGCAACCUUGGUUUCAGU
rnacentral:sRNA from 1 species